GGACUUUUAAACUUUUUCCGCAUUGCAUAAGCUGUUAACGAUAAUGCGUCAAUUCGGUCUGAUAACGAUUUGUAAGCACUUGAAGUAAUUGAAAGUAUCGUCUCGGUUCUGGACUCUUUAAUGAUGCUUGAUGGAUCCACGAAUCAUUCGUCAAGGUGCAUUCACACGGAGGGCCAUCUGUCGAGAUCCUAAAAUCCGUAUUGGUUGAAUCGAAUCCUAGAAACAGUUUCAAAAUGACCAAAGGUAAUGAGGGUCUAGCAAAAUUGGCCGGAACGAUCUUUUGAAAAUGAGUCCAAGACGCAGA